UAACCAUGAUGUGGACAAGUAAUUAGAAGGUCUUUGAAGCGCUCCUAAGCUUGAAAAAACAGUUCAUUCCCCUUUUGAGAGAACGGCAUGAUUUUCUGUUUAAGUGC